UUGUGGAGAAGGACGCCGAAGGUGGGGCUGAUGACUGGGGUUAAGUCGUAACAAGGUAGCCGUACCGGAAGGUGCGGCUGGAUCACCUCCUAACAGGGAGACAAUAAAUUGAUUGUGUUGUCUAAGUUAUUUAUUCUUAGGCCGCAGUCCUGUCACCUUAAGGUCGAUCGGUACCUCAGAUUUUUGAAUUAUUUUUAUAAUUGAUUCUUUGAUUUCAGUUCCUAAACUUGUCUAGGUCACACCCAACAAAGGUUUCUCCUGGGCCAUUAGCUCAGGUGGUUAGAGCGCACCCCUGAUAAGGGUGAGGUCCCUGGUUCAAGUCCAGGAUGGCCCAUUCGUUGUUGGGGGUAUAGCUCAGUUGGUAGAGCGCCUGCUUUGCAAGCAGGAUGUCAGCGGUUCGAGUCCGCUUACCUCCACUGAAAACUAUCCUGAUAACUAAAUUCUGGAGAAAAAAUUGUAGAUGUGGCUUAGAAUUGUCUAUUUGAAAAGAACCUAGCUUCUUGUCAUCUUUUUAUAGUUGAUAAAAUGCUGGGCUCGCAUGGAUUUUAUCCAUGAGAAUUCAGUAGAACCUUGAAAACUGCAUAGAUUAGAAAGAAUAAAGCAUCUCAUGGAUGCAUAAUUCUGUUUUUAUAAUUUAGCCUCAAAACUAAAUUAUUUAAUUCUAGGAUUCAUGUUUAAUUCUUGAGUAAAAGCCGAGCACAAUUGAAUUUGUGAUUGUAUUAAAGGUCAAGCUACAA
rnacentral:misc_RNA from 1 species